rnacentral:lncRNA from 1 species
GAUGUAGUUUAUCCAUUUAGCAUGUGUUUAUUUUUCCUUAUGUACUCAAGGUGAUUUAUUUGUUCAGCUCAAGGAUAUUACAGCUAAAAAACAUUCAUUAGCAAAAGGAGAAACAAUCUACAUCUAACAGAAAAAUCAAAAAUGUUUCUUAUUGGUUGAAUUGAAUGUUUGACUCUAACACUUUUCUUUAUACAAAACAUAGAUUCUCCAAAAAUAUUAUGCCAUAUGCUGACCAGAUCGCAUUAUUAAUUGAACAAGGAAGACAGAGAAGUAUAACUUUGACGGGCAAUGACAUUUCUCACAUAAUUACCCCAUUACCUAAAGACCAAUGGACUUACUUGGUACAAAUGACUGAAAUGCUACAAAUAGCGUUGGCUGAAUAUACUGGAAGUAUUUCCUAUCAUUUCCCCAAGGGCAAAUUAUGGGACAUGUUAAAACGUCAACAAUUUGUAAUCAAUAAUAUUAUUAGUAAAUAUCCUUUAGACAAUGUUGUUACUGUGUUUACUGAUGGAUCAAAAACUAAAAGUGCUUAU